AGGAGAGUCUCCUGUCCCUGGAACUCUAGGAAAGCAAUCGAGCUUCCUUGGCCUGCUUUGUGGCAGAAGCAGGAGACUCUGUCCUUCCAAAGAGAAAGCCACAACCUAUGCCCCUGGUUGCCUCAUUUCUGAGUUUCUUUGGUCAACAUGCCUGCAAACUUUCCAGAAGAGCCAGGUCAUCACUGUGUGUCUGUGAGGACCAGCCAGCAGGGACUUCUGCUGGCCUGGAACUCCCUAGGCGAGGCUGACUGACAGCCCAGGGAUCUUUCUCUCCCUACCUCCCUAGUGAUGGGAUUACAGGUAGCAUAAAUCACCGAGAGAUGAUCUAAAGUAUGUGGAAGGAUAUGUAGGUUUUGUGUAAGUCCUAUGAAGUAUUUGCUGUAUUGCUUCAGAAUCCAUGGGAUUUCAUCUCCAUGGCAAGGUCUGAAAGAAACCCGUGGAGACUGGAGACGUCAGCCAACCAACCCCAGCUGCACAGCUGUACACAGAUGCAACUCCGCUGAUGAAGGGGUUACAUCCUGAUAGACCCAUAGCACAUCAAAAUAUCAUAAGUCAAAAGGACACUGAGGGCACCCAAAGUAUUGGCCAUCCUAGUGUAGCCCCACCCACCUUAACAUACGCAGAACACUUGUUAGUCUUCAGUGAACAAAACCAUCCAAGACCAAGACUAUUUUAUGGGAGUGUUAUGUGCCACAUAACUCACUGAAUAUUGUACUCAAAGUGAAAAGCAGAUGGUUGCAUAAGUAUACAUUUAUACCGUUAUAAAGUUGAAAAUCUAUGCCAAGUAAUCAGUCAGGGUGCGGCUGUAUGAGACAUGCUGGAAGAAUGUAUUCUAUUAAAGGGUUGCCCUACGGCCCCCUUUCUCUCUCUCUUUCUCUUUCACUCCCCACCCCACAUCCCCCAGGUCUUCCUUGUUUUGGCCUCCCCUGUAGCUGUAACUACAGGUAUGUAUGUGACUCCCACCACUGUGUAUGUGUGUUAUGUGUGAGGACACAUGUGUAUGUGUAUAUGUGUAAGUGCAUGUGGAGGUCAGAGGUCAAACGUAGAGUGUUUGUUGAGACAGCCUCUCCUAAUGAACCUGGGAUCCCCUGAUUGGGCUAAACUUGCUGGCCAGGAAGCAAAGACAUGCCUGUGUCAGCUUUCCUGAUGCUGGGAUUAUCGGCCUGCACUGUUACAUAUUUUAUAUGGGUGUUGGGGGAUCCAAACUCAGGCUCCACACUUUCACAGCAGCACUUUACUUACUGAGCUAUCUCUCCAAACCUGUGUGCCUGCGUGUGUGUAUGUGCGUGUAUGUAUAUGUCCGUUUGUAUGUGUGUGUACAUGCAUGUGUGUAUUUAAUGGAAAGAUAAAAUGGAGCUUGCAGGUUGCAGAGGGGAGAGUCACUAGUAUAUAACAGUCCCUAGUUAAGCUCAUAGAAUAUUAACUUAGUGGAAGGAUCUAUAAGAGGAUUGUAUGAUAGGCUCUGUCAAUGAGUUAAUUAGUUUCAAAUGUCUGGUGUUCUUUCUUCGGCCACAGGAGACACAGGUUAAAAGCCCUCCUGGGAAGAUGCUGAAGGUAAUGUGCCUCUUGGGGUGUGUGAUGUUAACUGCAACAGAAACCAAACAUAACUACAAAGGGAACUGGACGAAUGCUAGGAGUUACAUUAUCUGAUUUAUUGUUUAGGUUAAUUUGGUACCAACUUAUUUUGCCACUGUAGAUUAUGCUUAUCAGAUAGAAUAUACAUCACAGUAGCAGAACCCUUUUUCAUUCCUGAAGGAUUUGUUUCAAGACACCUGCCUGCCCCAUGCUAAAAUCUGUGAAUAUUCAAGUCCAUACAGCUUCUAUACUAGCGUGGCAUAGUAUUCACAUAUAACCUAUGCAUAUCUUCCCAAAUCCUUUAGAUCAUCUGUAGAUGAUUUAUACUGCUCAAUAAAUGCAAGGGCUAUAUACAUAGUUGUUGUACUGUACUGUUAAAGGAAGAAUGAAAAGAAACAAGAGGAUGUGUGCAUAUUCCAGGUGUGUGCUCCCCAAUCCCCCAAAUAUUUUCCAUCUUUGCUUGAUUGGCUCUUUGAGUGUGGGAUCUGAAGUUCUGUAGGGCCAUCAAAUUGUCUUCCCGACUGGGUGUGGUGGUGCAUGCCUGUAAUGCUAGUAGUUGGUAAUUGGAUGCAGGAUGAGGAUUUCAAAGUUGUCCAAGGAUCUAGGACCUAGGCUACAAUGGGAUAGUCUGGGAUACAUGAGACCCCAUCUCAAAAAAAUGAGAUAACAACAACAACAAACAAAAUAAAAACCAAAGCAGAUUUUCUUCUGGAUUCUCAUAGAGUGUGAUUCCUAGUUCCUUAAACAUAUAACUAAUGUCUGUAAAUUGUCCUGAAUUACUUAGAUAUCUGUCUUUAAUUACUCAGUCUCCAUUAUCUUCUUGGCCCCUCUGUAAACAUAAAAAUUUAUUUCAAGUCUUAUUGCCCAACUACUUUGUUUUUUUUGUUUGUUUGUUUGUUUUUUGUGUUGCUACCCUUUCCUUCUCUUCCUUCAACCUCUCCAUCUCAGGGAUAGAGCAGAACUCACCCCGGACUUGCCAAGGAAGUAUAUUCUACCCCUGAGCUAUUAUUAUCAUCCAGGAAAACCUGGCCCUGCCCCUUGGGGACCUAGCAGAAUGGCCACCCCUGCUUGCAUGGCAGGCAGUAUUCUGGCUCUGUACACAGGUGCAAAGGUUCCUUUAAGAGACGAGCUCCGCCCAUUCCUGGUCUCUCUCUUUCCACCAUUUCUCUUAGGAGGCAGAGAUCUGUCUGCCUAUUUCUCUUCUCUCUGACCAUCUCUCUCUUUUUCUCUUCUCUCUCCCCACUCUCUCUCCCUUCCCCCACUCCCUUCUCUUCCCCCAAUAAAACUUCCUUCCCAUGUACGUUCAGCCUGAUGGUGUGUUUGCCCCUUGUCUGCCACGGGGCCUGCCAAGGUCCCAUGUGCCACAUAUCGUAACAGCUAUCCCCUGCCUGAAGGGUUUCUAGUCUCACUUCCUUGUUUUUUAGGAUUGCUCACUGUUUUCAUCGUUUGUGGUGUUGUCAGUAUGUACGUAGACAUAUGCUUCCCUUGGGCGGUCAUAAUCUCUUUCCAGAACUUACAGUUGUUCCCCAGCAGAGGUGUGAGCACCCCAGAGCUGGGACUGGAGAUGGACGCAAUGCUCCCUUGGAGAGUCACCCUUGCUACUGAGGAGUUAAGGAGGCGGCAGCAUCAGCAGAAGCUAAGGACUCUUCCAAUGCUUGUGCUCAUGCGCUGCAUCAAAAUGGAGUUCUUUUGGUCCCAGAAAGCUGCAUUUUACUGACAGAACUGCCUCAGCAUCAUCAUGGACACAUGUAGUGUGGAAGUUUGAACUUGCUGAAGAAAAAAAUGACUCCCUCACUUUGUUAGGGAAAAUUUUUGCUGAAGAAAAUAAUGAGUAUGUCUUAGAUGGUGAAGGACCUGCAAAAUUAACACCUAGACUCAAGUCACAGCACAAAGUCACAUUUGGAAGGCAUGUACUUUGAAAUGAAGCACAAUAUACUGUAAGUUGCCUUUGUGACCUAAAGACCCUUUGAGACAAGGUCUCUCUCCAUGUAGCCCUGGACCUUACGGCGUAGACUGAGUUGAUCUUGAACUCACAGAGAUUGAUCUGCCUAUCUUCAGAGUGCUGGGAUGGAUCAAAGGUGUGCACCCCCACACCCAGCCCCACUCUCCCUUUUGAAGGAGAGUCAUACUAUGCAGUUCAGGCUAACUAAGUACUUAAGAUCUUUGCCUUGUCCCUCCAAAUGCUAGGAUGACAGAUGUGUACCACCACAGCUAGCUUAGUCUUGAACCUUUUGUCUUUUGUUUGUUUGUUUGUUUUUGAGACAAGGUCUCACUAUAGCCUUGUCUAGCCUGGAAUUGACCAGACUGGCUUUGAACUCUGAGAGAUCUACCUGCCUCUCCCUUCCAAGUGUUGGGGUUAAAGGUAUGCCCACAACUCUCCCACACCUUUAGCUCUGAAUUUGGUACUAGUGACUGCCGGAUGCUUGGACCCCGAACAAGGUGUUUGUAUCUUGUGGAACAUCUGUACUCAGGAUUACACAUGACACACCUCCUGCCCCUCCCCCCAAUUGGUGCAGCUCUGUUCCUUCAGCACCCUACUCUAAGCUUCCUGUUCUGUGGAAAACCAGUGUUCCCAGACAAGGGAACAGUGGGUCAGCAAUGACUUUCCCUUGGAGCUAUUUAUAUUUUACUAGGAGAUUCCUGGUGAUAUUACCAGUGUCUUCAUCCAAGUAAAUAUAUCUCCAGUAUAGGGAAUUUGAGGUAUGUGACAUGACAAGCCAUGUAGAUAAUUUUGCCUGGGAGAGGGGUUCCUUUCCAAUACCCUUUUGCAAGAGACUGCACAUUUUAUAAUCCAUCCUUGUUUAGUUCCUUUAUGUCUGUUUCCUUGUCUGUAAAUAAAUAGAGAUGAUGGUUUUAUAAUCAUUUCCUGCUCUAACAUGUCCAAUUCCAUGAAAUAAAUGGUUUCUCAGUA